AUCUCUACUUGGAGACUGCUUUCUCUGGAGUGUUUGAUGAGGCCUGAUCUUCAGAAAGGGUGGGAAAGAGAAGCAAAAUAACGUAGCAAUUAAAAAAAAAAAAAGAAAAAGAAAGCAACCACAAAAUUCUGGAAACAGAGAAAUAAAUAUGGUUUAAUAACUGGGACACAAUCUACAGUCUGUGGAAUUAAAGCCCUGUUUUCUUCUGGCCAGCUGCCAAAGCGAGGCACAAACAAAUCCAGAGAAAAGCAGGUUAAUGAGAGGCUUCCAGAAAGAAAUAAUAGAAGAAAAAGUGAAAGCAGCAAACUCACAGAGCUGCUAGUGAUGAGAUAAAUAAAAUUUGAACUGACAUUAUCUGAUCAGGUUGCUGUGCAUAUUUCAUUUGCUACAGCCAGUUUUAAAUCUCCUAGGCACAGGUUUCAGCCUUAUCCUCUCAGCAGCCAUCACUGCAUCCAUCUUACCCAUCCCUUACCUUGUCCAUCCCUGAUCGCAGUGGGAUUUGAUUGCAUCCAGAGCCUGUUGCUAGGACAGAGGAGGAUGCAUCGAGGAGGCAUUUGCUGCAUGCUGCAUCUGUCAGGAGGCUGUGGAGCUGCAAGUAUUCCUGACGUGAUGGACCAGGUGUCAGAAGCAAUAAAUAACAAUGAUGGUGCGAAUCCCUUCUGAUGAAUUCAGCUUUCUGGAGCUACUGGCCUGUAGUUGUCUUUGCAGAGGAUAUUUUUAACUUGCUUUGAUUUUUUUUUUCCCUUUCCUUCCAGUGCCCUGGCCUGGGAGUUCUCCUGCAAUUAUUUCUCCUCCUGGUGCAUGCUUAUUUGAACUUUCAAGACCAAAGGGAUGGCGUAAGGGUCCAAAACACAAGGUCUGCAAUUCCUACUAGGUUCUCUGAAACUGCAGAUUUGAAUCCCAGCAGACCUGACUCAGGAGUUAAAAAAAGCUCAGUGGAGUUGCAGGGAGAGGGCUGUAAGCAUCCUCCUUUUCUGGAGUUGCUGAGCAAUGAAGAGGUGUAAACAGAUACAAAAAUCCAAACAGACUCCUCUGUCCCAUGCACACGGGCAUGAAAAGAGUGCCAAGAGGCUUUGCUAAUGAGAUAAAACUGAUUAGAAGGAAAUGGAGAGGCUCCUGUAAAAGUCCUUAAUAUGUUUUCUUCUCCUUCUGGAAGGCUGCAAGACCCAUCCUCAUCAUAAAGACACACCAGAGCAGAGUCAUUCUGAGGACAGGCUUGGUCUGUUUCCCAGCUUCUAGAAGAGUAACUGGGGAAAGCUCUGGGGACACUCAGAAAUCUCAAAGUCCCUAAAAAGCUUCUUUGACUUCACAGAGAGAACCGUAGGAUUUUGGUUUGCAUGUUCACAAAUUCCAUCCUGUGUUUCUUAAUGAACUGCACCUACCUGCUUCUUCUUGUAUCUGCUGGGCUGCUGCGUGAAGGUAUGGCAUUAAAUACAUAAAUUCACAGGACUGCAAAUGGGAGCUCAUGGCUAAAAGAGCCUUCCCAGAAAACAACCUGGAGCUUUCCUUCUGCAACUGCACACAUUUAAUGGCAUUUCUCUAUUAGUCAAGCUUAAUUCCAGAAGCGUAUACAUCUUUGUCUUUGCUCUCGGAUGUGGAAGCAGCUUCAGCAACACAUUCAUUUAUUGUGCUUAAAAGGCACUGACUUCAUCUGGCCUUAAGGCCCUGAUAAAUUAAAGCCUCGC
ensembl:lncRNA